rnacentral:rRNA from 1 species
AUUGAACGCUGGCGGCAGGCUUAACACAUGCAAGUCGAGCGGAGAUGAGGUGCUUGCACCUUAUCUUAGCGGCGGACGGGUGAGUAAUGCUUAGGAAUCUGCCUAUUAGUGGGGGACAACAUUCCGAAAGGAAUGCUAAUACCGCAUACGUCCUACGGGAGAAAGCAGGGGAUCUUCGGACCUUGCGCUAAUAGAUGAGCCUAAGUCGGAUUAGCUAGUUGGUGGGGUAAAGGCCUACCAAGGCGACGAUCUGUAGCGGGUCUGAGAGGAUGAUCCGCCACACUGGGACUGAGACACGGCCCAGACUCCUACGGGAGGCAGCAGUGGGGAAUAUUGGACAAUGGGGGGAACCCUGAUCCAGCCAUGCCGCGUGUGAAGAAGGCCUUAUGGUUGUAAAGCACUUUAAGCGAGGAGGAGGCUACUGAGACUAAUACUCUUGGAUAGUGGACGUUACUCGCAGAAUAAGCACCGGCUAACUCUGUGCCAGCCGCCGCGGUAAGAC